UACCCAACAAAUCUACCGAAAACCCAAUACUUAUGUAAGUGUUUAAUUUAUGAUCAAACGACUCAAAUGGAAAAGAAGGCAUGCCUGGAUAUCAUACUUACGGUAUUUUCAAAAAAGUUUUGACCAAGAAUUUAAACGAGAAAACACCAAAAAACCAUUGGGCAAACAGAGUAAAUGAUGACUGAAGUAACAAUAUUAUAAUACAACGUAGACAGGCUGAUGGACUGAUGGACUGAUGGAGGAGUGUAGUUAAAGCAGCGACAGUGCUACAAUAAUUGUAAAAGCUUAAAAAGAACAACAACAAAUAC